UACGUAGGGUGCAAGCGUUGUCCGGAAUUAUUGGGCGUACAGAGCUCGUAGGCGGUCUGUCGCGUCGGCUGUGAAAACCCGAGGCUCAACCUCGGGCCUGCAGUGGGUACGGGCAGACUAGAGUGCGGUAGGGGAGAUUGGAAUUCCUGGUGUAGCGGUGGAAUGCGCAGAUAUCAGGAGGAACACCAAUGGCGAAGGCAGAUCUCUGGGCCGUAACUGACGCUGAGGAGCGAAAGCAUGGGGAGCGAACAGG
rnacentral:rRNA from 1 species